ACCAGCAGUUAUAUCACCCUGCAACUCACAACUGACAGCCCACUGAAGCUCAGCAGUUGUGAGCCUGGUCAGUACCUGGAUAGGAGACCUCCUGGGAAAAUCUCAGGUUCUGCCGGAA
rnacentral:rRNA from 1 species